rnacentral:rRNA from 1 species
GCAGGCUGCAACUCGCCUGCAUGAAGUCAGAAUUGCUAGUAAUCGCGGAUCAGCAUGCCGCGGUGAAUACGUUCCCGGGCCUUGUACACACCGCCCGUCACACCAUGGGAGUCGGUAACACCCGAAGCCGAUAGUCUAACGAAAGAGGACGUCGUCGAAGGUGGGAUUGAUGACUGGGGUGAAGUCGUAACAAGGUACC